UACGUAGGUGGCGAGCGUUGUCCGGAAUUACUGGGUGUAAAGCGCGCGUAGGCGGGAGGCCAAGUCCGCUGUGAAAUCGCCCGGCUCAACCGGUGGCGCGGUCGGUGGAAACUGGUCACCUGGAGGACGGUAGAGGCGAGUGGAAUUCCCGGUGUAGUGGUGAAAUGCGUAGAGAUCGGGAGGAACACCAGUGGCGAAGGCGGCUCGCUGGGCCGGCCCUGACGCUGAGGAGCGAAAGCGUGGGGAGCGAACAGG
rnacentral:rRNA from 1 species